UUGGCGACCUUUAAAUACCACCACCCUUCAUGCCAUGUUACUUCUUCUGCGAAGCUGGGGCUUACGCAAUUGUAAAGGUUUGAACUGAGGCUGUUCUUCGGACUUUAUGACGUAUGUGGAAGACAUCAUACGGUGGGGUGUUUGGCUGGGGCAGCACAUCCAGUAAAAGACGACGCAGGUGUCCUAAGGUGAAUCAAUGAGAACAGAACUCUCACGUGGACCAACAGGGGAAAA
rnacentral:rRNA from 1 species